AGUAGCAAUACUGUGGGUGGCGAGUGGCGGACGGGUGAGGAAUACAUCGGAAUCUGCCCAGUCGUGGGGGAUAACAUAGGGAAACUUAUGCUAAUACCGCAUACGACCUACGGGUGAAAGCGGGGGAUCGCAAGACCUCGCGCGAUUGGAUGAGCCGAUGUCCGAUUAGCUAGUUGGCGGGGUAAUGGCCCACCAAGGCGACGAUCGGUAGCUGGUCUGAGAGGAUGAUCAGCCACACUGGAACUGAGACACGGUCCAGACUCCUACGGGAGGCAGCAGUGGGGAAUAUUGGACAAUGGGCGCAAGCCUGAUCCAGCCAUGCCGCGUGGGUGAAGAAGGCCUUCGGGUUGUAAAGCCCUUUUGUCCGGAAAGAAAAGCACUGGAUUAAUACUUCGGUGUUCUGACGGUACCGGAAGAAUAAGCACCGGCUAACUUCGUGCCAGCAGCCGCGGUAAUACGAAGGGUGCAAGCGUUACUCGGAAUUACUGGGCGUAAAGCGUGCGUAGGUGGUUCGUUAAGUCUGAUGUGAAAGCCCUGGGCUCAACCUGGGAAUUGCAUUGGAUACUGGCGGGCUAGAGUGCGGUAGAGGAUGGCGGAAUUCCCGGUGUAGCAGUGAAAUGCGUAGAGAUCGGGAGGAACAUCUGUGGCGAAGGCGGCCAUCUGGACCAGCACUGACACUGAGGCACGAAAGCGUGGGGAGCAAACAGGAUUAGAUACCCUGGUAGUCCACGCCCUANACGAUGCGAACUGGAUGUUGGGUGCAACUAGGCACUCAGUAUCGAAGCUAACGCGUUAAGUUCGCCGCCUGGG
rnacentral:rRNA from 1 species